GACGAACGCUGGCGGCGUGCUUAACACAUGCAAGUCGAACGGAAAGGCCCUGCUUUUGUGGGGUGCUCGAGUGGCGAACGGGUGAGUAACACGGGAGUAACCUGCCCUUGACUUUGGGAUAACUUCAGGAAACUGGGGCUAAUACCUGAUAGGAGCUCCUGCUGCAGGGUGGGGGUUGGAAAUUUUAGGCGGUUGGGGAUGGACUCGCGGCUUAUCAGCUUGUUGGUGGGGUAGUGGCUUACCAAGGGUUUGACGGGUAGCCGGCCUGGGAGGGUGACCGGCCACAUUGGGACUGCGAUACGGCCCAGAGUGCUAUGGGAGGCAGCAGUGGGGAGUAUUGCCCAAUGGGGGGAAGCCUGAUGCAGCAACGCCGCGUGCGGGAUGACGGCCUUGGGGUUGUAAACCGCUUUAGCCUGUGACGAAGCGUGAGUGACGGUAAUGGGUAAAGAAGCACCGGCUAACUACGUG
rnacentral:rRNA from 1 species